AUACGUAGGUGACAAGCGUUAUCCGGAUUUACUGGGCGUAAAGGGCGUGUAGGCGGUCUUGCAAGUCAGAAGUGAAAUUCCUGAGCUCAACUCGGGCGCUGCUUCUGAAACUGCAGGACUUGAGUGCUGGAGGGGAUAGCGGAAUUCCUAGUGGAGCGGUAAAAUGCGCAGAUAUUAGGAAGAACACCGGUGGCGAAGGCGGCUAUCUGGACAGUAACUGACUCUGAGGCGCGAAAGCGUGGGGAGCAAACAGGAUUAGAUACCCUGGUAGUCCACGCUGUAAACGAUGAAUACUAGGUGUGGGGGGAAUGACCCCCUCCGUGCCGCAGUUAACACAAUAAGUAUUCCACCUGGGGAGUACGAUCGCAAGAUUGAAACUCAAAUGAAUUGACGGGG
rnacentral:rRNA from 1 species